GUCGCCGCACGGCGCACCCGGCCGGCGAUAGGCCUCAAAGACGGCGCGCCUCGCCGCGAGCGGGUGCUGAGUGGCCUCGGCCAGGGUGCGCGACGUCCCAUACAGGGCCGCCAGAUCGCGCGCCGACAGGCCACGCGACAAUGCAAUGGCCUGGACGACUUCAACGGGCAGGGUCUCCAACAGGGACAAUUGAGCCGGUGGCGUCUCGCCAUCGCCACCGAUGUCGCCACCCGUUUCUCCCUCUUCUUCUUCUCCUCCUUGUUCUUGGUCGGCGUCUAAAUGUGACGACCCGUCAGCGGGAGGCGGCGAUUGAGCGUCGUAGAGGCUGGACACGCGGGCCAGGGCACGCGCCACAUGAUCCAUGUAGUCGGCCAACGCGUCGUGGUCCUCCACGUCAUAGCGAGGGCGCGCGGCCAUGUCGGACGCCCUCUCCAGAUCGCGCGCCAAGGCCUCGCGCUCGGUGAUGCGCGACAGGCCGGCGCGCGCCAGGUUGUACGCCGCCGGCGUGCCAUAGAGCCGCCGCCAGCCUUUGCCCAGGUCGUAGUAUUGCAAGUCGGCCUGCGACAAGGCGUCGCCAAUGUCCACCAGGGGCCUGCCGACACCCUGCACACGCUCAUCGGGUCUGUAGCCGGCAGCGAGCAGGGGCACCAGGUUGGCCUCGACGGCACGACCGAGCGCAGCGCCCAGUUCAGGCGCCAAGGCCACGCCGCGCAACGUGGCGAGCCGCGCGACCGACAGUGGGUUCGAGUCGAGCGGGUCCAAUCGCGGCGAGCGCCCGAAUCGAUGCAAGAGCACGCGAGCCGUGCGCGCGGCGUCGAUGCGACGGGGCGCGCCGCGCGGGUACUCGUAAUCGACCGCCGUGCUCAGCGCCAGGGCCUGAUUGAGCAGGGCCUCGCGUGUCGGCCACGGCAGCGCGCCGGCGUCGAUCAAGGCCUCGACCGACGCCGGUGCGCCCGACGCCACGGCCAUCUGCAGGAGCGUGGAAACGACGGGCCUGCGCACCGUGGCCGGCACGAGCAGGUCCAGCGUGGGCGCCUCAGCGGCCUCCUCAUCCAUUGCAGCCCCAAUGGUGCCCAUGGGGGGACCUCCACCGUAUUCGUCCACGACGGGCCGACGUCGUCCCAAUAGACGCGCCGUGGUAUCCGCGUUAAAGCCCAUGUAUCGGAUGCGGUCGCUGUCGAUCAAGUCGUUGACAUCGACGCGUCCCUGAGCGAGAAUGCGUCGAAUCGCAGCAACGUCCUGCCGCGCGAUGGCAUCCAAAACUGCGUCGGUGUCUUCCUUGCGACCUGGCGGGCAGUCGGCGCCGGCGCCUUCCGGUGGGCCUCUGACGGCGAAUGCCUGCAACGCCGACGGCAGGGGCAUUGUCGACAGUUGCUCCUCCCCCUCUUGUUGCCGUUGCUGUUGCCGUGAUCGGGGCGGCGCGGUUUGUACAGUCAAAGAUUGCGCGGCCGCUGCGUGCGGGAAGGGAAACCCCGAUGCCUCCUCGUCCGCUUCUUGUGGGCGCUCCAUGUUGCUUGGAAUAGUGCGGAAAACGGACACUGGCUUGUCCUGUGGCGCGGCGAAUCGUGGACGCACGGGUACGACUCGACCGGCUAGCGCAAACCAAGGAGCGCUCGGCGUGCUGUGGUCGCCGUGCGAUCGGUGCGUGCGCUGUCCACCACCGAAAGAAGAGACCACCUUUUGUGAUGAAAAUGAACACGAACCCGCAGAAUUUAUGUGCGGAUUCUAAAGUGCGCUUGAAUGAGGGUUGGCCCAAACAGGGCACGGCCCGCGCCUAUUUUUCUUGGGCACAGCCCGACCCAUACAAGGAAAAACAACAGCACCAACGACAGAGAGGGGCAACAAAAAAGGCUG
rnacentral:lncRNA from 1 species